rnacentral:rRNA from 1 species
UACGUAGGGGGCAAGCGUUGUCCGGAAUCAUUGGGCGUAAAGAGCGUGUAGGCGGCCCGGUAAGUCCGCCGUGAAAGUCCAGGGCUCAACCCCGGAAUGCCGGUGGAAACUGCCGGGCUGGAGUCCGGAAGAGGCGAGUGGAAUUCCAGGUGUAGCGGUGAAAUGCGUAGAUAUCUGGAGGAACACCGGUGGCGAAGGCGGCAUCCUGGACCGACACUGACGCUGAGGCGCGAAAGCUAGGGGAGCAAACGGG